UACAGAGACCUCAAGCGUUAUCCGGAAUCAUUGGGCGUAAAGCGUACCGACAUGUGGUCAUACAAGUUAGAAGUGAAAUCUCAAAGCUUAACUUUGAGUCUGUCUUUUGAAACUGUAUGACUAGAGGGGCAAAGAGGAAGCUGGAACGAACGGUGUAGUAGUGAAAUGCGUUGAUAUCGUUCGGAACACCAAUAGCGUAGGCAGGCUUCUGGGUGCCACCUGACACUGCUAGGACGAAAGCGUGGGGAGCGAAUGGG
rnacentral:rRNA from 1 species